CAGUCGCCACGGUAAUACAGAGGGUGCGAGCGUUAAUCGGAUUUACUGGGCGUAAAGCGUGCGUAGGCGGCUUCUUAAGUCGGAUGUGAAAUCCCUGAGCUUAACUUAGGAAUUGCAUUCGAUACUGGGAAGCUAGAGUAUGGGAGAGGAUGGUAGAAUUCCAGGUGUAGCGGUAAAAUGCGUAGAGAUCUGGAGGAAUACCGAUGGCGAAGGCAGCCAUCUGGCCUAAUACUGACGCUGAGGUACGAAAGCAUGGGGAGCAAACAGGAUUAGAUACCCCUGUAGUCCCUGUCUCUUAUAC
rnacentral:rRNA from 1 species